rnacentral:rRNA from 1 species
GGCGGCGUGCCUAACACAUGCAAGUCGAACGAGAAAGUUGGCUUCGGCCGAUGAGUAAAGUGGCGCACGGGUGAGUAACGCGUGGAUAAUCUGCCCUUUAGUUUGGAAUAACGUACCGAAAGGUGCGCUAAUACCGGAUAAUACUGAAUGACUACUGUCGUUUAGUCAAAGAAGGCUUCUGUUUACAUGCUUUUGCUGAAGGAUGAGUCCGCGUACCAUUAGCUAGUUGGUAGGGUAAUGGCCUACCAAGGCGACGAUGGUUAGCUGGCCUGAGAGGAUGAUCAGCCACACUGGAACUGAGACACGGUCCAGACUCCUACGGGAGGCAGCAGUGAGGAAUAUUGCGCAAUGGGGGCAACCCUGACGCAGCAACGCCGCGUGAGUGAGGAAGGUUUUCGGACCGUAAAGCUCUGUCGAGCGGGAAGAAAUGCAUGGUGGCUAAUAUCCAUCAUGCUUGACGGUACCGCUAAAGGAAGCACCGGCUAACUCCGUG